UACGUAGGGGGCAAGCGUUGUCCGGAUUUAUUGGGCGUAAAGAGCGUGUAGGCGGCUUUGCAGGUCCGCUGUGAAAACUCGAGGCUCAACCUCGAGCUGUCGGUGGAAACCGUAAAGCUAGAGUCCGGAAGAGGAGAGUGGAAUUCCCGGUGUAGCGGUGAAAUGCGCAGAUAUCGGGAAGAACACCCGGUGGCGAAGGCGGCUCUCUGGGACGGUACUGACGCUGAGACGCGAAAGCGUGGGGAGCGAACAGG
rnacentral:rRNA from 1 species